GCGCCUGUAGCUUAAUUGGGAGAGUGCUCCCGGAUGCGGGAGCAGGUGCUGGUUCGAGCCCAGCCAGGCGCU
rnacentral:tRNA from 1 species